GACAAACGCUGGCGGCGUGCAUAACACAUUCAAGUCGAACGGGGCAGCAAUGCCUAGUGGCGGACGGGUGAGUAACGCGUGAGCAACCUGCCUGUGUGAGGGGGACAACAGCCGGAAACAGCUGCUAAUACCGCAUGAAGUAUUCGAAUCGCAUGGUUUGAAUACCAAAGAUUUAUCGCACACAGAUGGGCUCGCGUCCGAUUAGCUAGAUGGUGAGGUAACGGCUCACCGUGGCGACGAUCGGUAGCCGGACUGAGAGGUUGAACGGCCACAUUGGAACUGAGAUACGGUCCAGACUCCUACGGGAGGCAGCAGUGGGGAAUAUUGGGCAAUGGGCGAAAGCCUGACCCAGCGACGCCGCGUGAAGGAAGACGGUCUUCGGAUUGUAAACUUCAAACAACAGGGAAGAAACAAAUGACUGUACCUGUUAGGAAGCCACGGCUAACUACGUGCCAGCCGCCGCAGUAAGAC
rnacentral:rRNA from 1 species